UACGUAGGGUGCGAGCGUUGUCCGGAAUUAUUGGGCGUAAAGAGCUCGUAGGCGGUCUGUCGCGUCUGCUGUGAAAACCCGAGGCUCAACCUCGGGCCUGCAGUGGGUACGGGCAGACUAGAGUGCGGUAGGGGAGAAUGGAAUUCCUGGUGUAGCGGUGGAAUGCGCAGAUAUCAGGAGGAACACCGAUGGCGAAGGCAGUUCUCUGGGCUGUAACUGACGCUGAGGAGCGAAAGCGUGGGGAGCGAACAGG
rnacentral:rRNA from 1 species